rnacentral:rRNA from 1 species
UGGGGAAUCUUGGACAAUGGGCGCAAGCCUGAUCCAGCCAUGCCGCGUGAGUGAUGAAGGCCUUAGGGUCGUAAAGCUCUUUCGCCAGGGAUGAUAAUGACAGUACCUGGUAAAGAAACCCCGGCUAACUCCGUGCCAGCAGCCGCGGUAAUACGGAGGGGGUUAGCGUUGUUCGGAAUUACUGGGCGUAAAGCGUACGUAGGCGGGUUGUUAAGUAAGAGGUGAAAUCCCAGGGCUCAACCCUGGAACUGCCUUUUAAACUGGCAACCUAGAGUUCGAGAGAGGUGAGUGGAAUUCCGAGUGUAGAGGUGAAAUUCGUAGAUAUUCGGAGGAACACCAGUGGCGAAGGCGGCUCACUGGCUCGAUACUGACGCUGAGGUACGAAAGUGUGGGGAGCAAACAGGAUUAGAUACCCUGGUAGUCCACACCGUAAACGAUGAAUGCCAGUCGUCAGGUAGCAUGCUAUUCGGUGACACACCUAACGGAUUAAGCAUUCCGCCUGGGGAGUACGGUCGCAAGAUUA